UAAAGAAAUAUCAAAUAUUAAAUGUCAACAUAAAGAGUUAUCAAUCAUCAAAACCUCAAGAUGUCUUCUGAGGCAUCAAUGUCUCCUCAUCUAGCCCCUCCAAUUUUUUCAGCUAAAGCCAUAACAAAAGGAAUGGUACGAGAAAAUGAGGUAGUUAAUAGAUCAUCAAAUGAGAAUCUUUUUGUUAUUGCAAAGUGAAGAUGAACAUGCCAAUGUAGAAGAAUAAGUAAACAGUUAAAUUCCUAUGCUGAAUAAGAAGAAUAAGUAGACAACCAAAUUGAUAGAAUCAUAAAACUAAAAUGAAUAAUAUAUAAAUUAAUUAAUGGUUUUUGAUUCCUCUGACUCUGAGGAUGCAAUGUAGUUUCUCUUUCAUUCCAUGAAGUUAAGAAGGAAUAACAUUCUGAUCACUAAACAACUAGACUAGAAUAUUCCAUUAGCAAGAAAACAUAGAUAGAAACAGAAUAAGAUUACCCCAGAUAACAAAAUCAGUUUUUUUCAUCAACUUUGUGUGGAAUCAAAAGAGUAUCAUGCAGAAGUAUACAAGUUACACACCAGAAAUAGUGAAAAGCAGCAUAAGCAGUUUGAAGUAUGAGGAAUUUUCAAAUUCAAAAAGAAUGAAAACCAGAUAACCCCAAUCAUAAACACCAUUAUCAAAUCAAAUAAAAAAUCAACCAAAAAUAACCUUGCAAAUGAAUAAAACAUAUAUAAAAUUAAAAACAGCCACAGCAAUGAAUCCUAACAAUUCUGCCUACACAAUGAACAUUAACAGAAAUUUGAGCAGAAAUUGAGCAACAAAUUUUUGCCUACACAAUUCUGCCUACACUAUGAACAGCCACACAAUUCUGCCUACACAAUGAACAUUACCAAUUCUGCCUACACAAUUCUACCUACACAAUGAAUAUUAACAAAUUUCAGCUUAUUUAGCAAAGGAACGAACAGAAAUUGAGCAACAAAUUACAGCUUAUUUACAAAACAGAGUAACAAAUUUGAGCAGAGGAACGAACAGAAAUUGAGCAACAAAUUACAGCUUAUUUACAAAACAGAUUAUUUAUUUCUCAUGCUAUUGAGCAGAGGAACGAAGAAGGAAGAAGAUGAGCAGAGGAAGUUCACAGAGGAAGUUCACAGAUACUCGAAGUUCACAUAGGAAGUUCACAGAAAAUUAAACAGAAAUCUAAGUUCAGUAGUUCACAGAGGAAGUUCAGAGUAUCAAUUUCAUGUUUCUUAUACUAGAGAAGAUGAGCAGAGGCGAAGAACAAAGAAGAUGAGCAGAGGACGAGUCACUCACCUGGCGUCGAUGGAGGGCUACUGGUGUUGACUGUUGAGGACCGCGCGACGAUGAAGACGAUGCGAGCUACUGCCUGCUGGUGUUCAGAAGAUGAAGACGAUGGAGAUGGAGGGCUACUGGGCAGGGAACCAGGC
rnacentral:lncRNA from 1 species